GACGAACGCUGGCGGCGUGCUUAACACAUGCAAGUCGAACGGAAAGGCCCCUUCGGGGGUACUCGAGUGGCGAACGGGUGAGUAACACGUGAGUAACCUGCCCUUGACUUCGGGAUAACUUCAGGAAACUGGGGCUAAUACCGGAUAGGAAUCCUUGCUGCAUGGUGGGGGUUGGAAAGCUUCGGCGGUUUUGGAUGGACUCGCGGCUUAUCAGCUUGUUGGUGGGGUAGUGGCUUACCAAGGCUUUGACGGGUAGCCGGCCUGAGAGGGCGACUGGCCACAUUGGGACUGAGAUACGGCCCAGACUCCUACGGGAGGCAGCAGUGGGGAAUAUUGCACAAUGGGCGGAAGCCUGAUGCAGCAACGCCGCGUGCGGGAUGACGGCCUUCGGGUUGUAAACCGCUUUCAGCAGGGGCGAAGCUUGUGGUGACGGUACCUGCAGAAGAAGCACCGGCUAACUACGUG
rnacentral:rRNA from 1 species